rnacentral:rRNA from 1 species
UGGGGAAUAUUGCACAAUGGAGGAAACUCUGAUGCAGCGACGCCGCGUGAGUGAAGAAGUAUUUCGGUAUGUAAAGCUCUAUCAGCAGGGAAGAAAAUGACGGUACCUGACUAAGAAGCACUGGCUAAAUACGUGCC